GAUGAACGCUAGCUACAGGCUUAACACAUGCAAGUCGAGGGGUAGCAGGGUAGCAAUACCGCUGACGACCGGCGCACGGGUGAGUAACACGUAUCCAACCUUCCCAUAACUCGGGGAUAGCCUUUCGAAAGAAAGAUUAAUACCCGAUAGUACUUAUAUAGGGCAUCCUACAUAAGUUAAAGAUUUAUUGGUUAUGGAUGGGGAUGCGUUCCAUUAGAUAGUUGGUGAGGUAACGGCUCACCAAGUCUUCGAUGGAUAGGGGUUCUGAGAGGAAGGUCCCCCACAUUGGGACUGAGACACGGACCAAACUCCUACGGGAGGCAGCAGUGAGGAAUAUUGGUCAAUGAGCGAGAGCCUGAACCAGCCAAGUAGCGUGAAGGAUGAAGGUCCUAUGGAUUGUAAACUUCUUUUAUAGUAGAAUAAAGUGAUCCACGUGUGGAUUUUUGUAUGUAUACUAUGAAUAAGGAUCGGCUAACUCCGUGCCAGCCGCCGCGGUAA
rnacentral:rRNA from 1 species